rnacentral:rRNA from 1 species
AACGAACGCUGGCGGCGUGGCUAAGACAUGCAAGUCGAACGGUCUAUGCAAUUGAGUAAUCGAGCGUAUAGAUAGUGGCGAAAGGGUUAGUAAUGGCUAGGUAACGUACCCCAUGCUCUGGGAUAGCUAUUCGAAAGGAUAGGUAAUACCAGAUGAUAUCACAGAUCUAUAGUUUUGUGAUCAAAGAUUUAUCGGCAUGGGAGCGGCCUAGUUCCUAUCAGCUAGUUGGUGAGGUAAUGGCUCACCAAGGCAACGACGGGUAGCGGGACUGAGAGGUUGGCCCGCAACAUCGGAACUGAGACACUGUCCGGACCUCCACGGAGGGCUGCAGUAACGAAUAUUGCGCAAUGGGCGAAAGCCUGACGCAGCGACGCCGCGUGUAGGAUGAAGUUCCUCGGGAUGUAAACUACUUUUCGGGUUAAGAAAGUCUUCGGAUUGAUCGAUCCCGGAAUAAGUCACGGCUAACUUCGUGCCAGCAGCCGCGGUAAGACGAAGGUGGCGAGCGUUGUUCGGUAUUACUGGGCUUAAAGCGUGUGUAGGCGGAAAUGUAAGCGUCUUGUGAAAUCCCUCGGCUUAACCGAGGAAUUGCUUGGCGAACUGCAUUUCUUGAGGCAAGUAGGGGUACACGGAACUCUUGGUGGAGCGGUGGAAUGCGUAGAUAUCAAGAGGAACGCCGGUGGAGAAGUCGGUGUACUGGGCUUGUCCUGACGCUGAGACACGAAAGCGUGGGGAGCAAACAGGAUUAGAUACCCUGGUAGUCCACGCUGUAAACGAUGUCAACUAGGUCGUGCGGGUUCUGACGCUGGCACGGCCGAAGCAAAAGUGUUAAGUUGACCGCCUGGGGAGUACGGUCGCAAGGCUAAAACUCGAAGGAAUUGACGGGGGCUCACACAAGCGGUGGAGCAUGUGGGUUAAUUCGAAGCAACGCGCAGAACCUUACCUGGGUUUGACAUGCUUGGAUGCCCUCCGGGAAACCGGAGUAAGCUGCCCUUCGGGGUGAAACUUGCACAGGUGCUGCAUGGCUGUCGUCAGCUCGUGUCGUGAGACGUUGGGUUAAGUCCUUUAACGAGCGAAACCCUUACCGUUAGUUGCCAGCGAGUCAAGUCGGGGACUCUAACGGGACUGCCGGUGUUAAACCGGAGGAAGGUGGGGAUGACGUCAAGUCCUCAUGGCCUUUAUGCCCAGGGCUGCAAACGUGCUACAAUGGCCGGUACAAACCGACGCGAGACCGCGAGGUGGAGCAAAUCGGAAAAAGCCGUCCCCAGUUCGGAUUGGAGUCUGCAACUCGACUCCAUGAAGUUGGAAUCGCUAGUAAUCGUAGAUCAGCCACGCUACGGUGAAUGUGUUCCUGAGCCUUGUACACACCGCCCGUCAAGUCAUGGAAGCUGGGAGCGCCCGAAGUCGGCUCGCUACGGAGCUGCCGAAGGUGAGCUCGGUGACUGGGACU